GGUCAAGCUACUAAGGGCAAACGGUGGAUGCCUAGGCGCUGAGAGGCGAUGAAGGACGUGGAUAGCUGCGAUAAGCCUCGGGAAGCCGCUAAACAGGCUUUGAUCCGGGGAUUUCCGAAUGGGGGAACCCACCCCGAGUAAUGUCGGGGUAUCCAUGACUGAAUACAUAGGUCAUGGAGGCGAACGCAGGGAACUGAAACAUCUAAGUACCUGCAGGAAAAGAAAUCAACCGAGAUUCCGCUAGUAGCGGCGAGCGAACGCGGACCAGCCUAAACCAUGGUGAUUCGUUGCCAUGGGGUUGCGGGGCCCCAAUGUGGGAUUGUGAAUGGAUAGCAGAACGAUCUGGAAAGGUCGGCCGAAGAGGGUGAUAGCCCCGUAAGCGAAAUCUUGAAGCACCCUAGGGUGUCCCCAAGUACCACGGGACACGGGAAAUCCUGUGGGAAUCUGGGAGGACCAUCUUCCAAGGCUAAAUACUACUCAGCGACCGAUAGUGAACCAGUACCGUGAGGGAAAGGUGAAAAGUACCCCUGUGAGGGGAGUGAAAUAGUACCUGAAACCGUUUGCUUACAAGCUGUGGGAGGACGGUGGCCGGCCUCAAAGGCUAGUCCCUUUGGCCGGUCUGUCUGACCGCGUGCCUUUUGCAUAAUGAGUCAGUGAGUUACUUUACGUGGCGAGGUUAAGCCGUCAGGUGUAGCCGUAGCGAAAGCGAGUCUGAAUAGGGCGACGAGUCGCGUGGAGUAGACCCGAAGCCAGUUGAUCUAUCCAUGGCCAGGGUGAAGUCUCGGUAACACGAGAUGGAGGCCCGAACCCACUAAGGUUGAAAACUUAGGGGAUGAGCUGUGGAUCGGAGUGAAAGGCUAAUCAAAACUGGAGAUAGCUGGUUCUCCCCGAAAUGCAUUUAGGUGCAGCCUCGCAGGAUGAAUGGCGGAGGUAGAGCACUGGAUGGGCUAGGGGUCUCACCAGAUUACCAAACCCAACCAAACUCCGAAUGCCGUCAUAUUUACUGCGGGAGUGAGACUACGGGAGAUAAGUUCCGUGGUCGAAAGGGAAACAGCCCAGACCGCCAGCUAAGGUCCCUAAAUAUGUGCUAAGUGGGAAAGGAUGUGGAAGCGCUCAGACAACCAGGAGGUUGGCUUAGAAGCAGCCAUCCUUUAAAGAAAGCGUAACAGCUCACUGGUCAAGUGAGUCUGCGCCGAAAAUUCAACGGGGCUCAAGCACAUUACCGAAGCUGCGGGUUUCAUCCGCUUCACUAAGCCGAUGAAGCGAUUUUUCGUUGAAUCUGCGAGGUCCGACUUCUCGGACCGAGCAAAAUUCUUUUGGUGAAAGCAUCUUCUUUACCUGAUUGGUAGGGGAUUGCUUCACCGGUUUAGUGAAGCGGAUGGAGCGGUAGGGGAGCGUUGUAGUAACCGCUGAAGGCACACUGUAAGGAGUGCUGGAGGACCUACAAGAGACUAUGCUGACAUGAGUAGCGAUAAUGCGGGUGAAAAACCCGCACGCCGUAAGCCUAAGGUUUCCUGAGUAAAGCUAAUCUUCUCAGGGUUAGUCGGUCCCUAAGCCGAGGCCGAAAGGCGUAGGUGAUGGAAAACAGGUUAAUAUUCCUGUACCACCAAACAGGCAUUUGAGUGAUGGGGGGACGUAGAAGGGUAGGCCAUCCGGGUGAUGGACGUCCCGGUUUAAGCUGGUAGGUGGAGGCUCUAGGCAAAUCCGGAGCCUCGUUAACACCGAGAAGCGAUGAGGAGGGAUUUAUCCCACAAACUGGCUAAUCCCACGCUACCAAGAAAAGCCUCUAGCGAGUCCGUUUGGUGACCGUACUGCAAACCGACACAGGUAGGCAGGGAGAGUAUCCUAAGGCGCUUGAGAGAACCCUGGUUAAGGAACUCGGCAAAAUGACACCGUAACUUUGGGAGAAGGUGUGCCCUCAUUAGGUGAAACGACUUGCUCGUGGAGCCGAAGGGGGUUGCAGAGAAUAGGGGGUUGCGACUGUUUACUAAAAACACAGGACUCUGCGAAGUCGUAAGACGAUGUAUAGGGUCUGACGCCUGCCCGGUGCUGGAAGGUUAAGGGGAUGCGUUAUCCCGAUUCGUCGGGAGAAGCGUUGAACCGAAGCCCCAGUAAACGGCGGCCGUAACUAUAACGGUCCUAAGGUAGCGAAAUUCCUUGUCGGGUAAGUUCCGACCUGCACGAAUGGCGUAACGACAUCCCCGCUGUCUCAACCAGGGACUCAGCGAAAUUGUAAUCUCGGUGAAGAUACCGAGUACCCGCGGCAAGACGGAAAGACCCCGUGCACCUUUACUAUAGCUUGGCAUUGGCUUUUGGGCUAGCAUGUGUAGGAUAGGUGGGAGACGUUGAAAUGGGGACGCUAGUUUCCAUGGAGUCAACCUUGAAAUACCACCCUUGUUAUUCUAGAAGUCUAACCUUGGCCCGUUAUCCGGGUUAGGGACAGUGCCUGGUGGGUAGUUUGACUGGGGCGGUCGCCUCCUAAAGCGUAACGGAGGCGCGCGAAGGUUCCCUCAGGCUGAUUGGAAACCAGCCGUAGAGUGUAAAGGCAUAAGGGAGCCUGACUGCGAGACCUACAAGUCGAGCAGAGACGAAAGUCGGUCUUAGUGAUCCGGCGGUUCUGGAUGGAAGGGCCGUCGCUCAACGGAUAAAAGGUACGCCGGGGAUAACAGGCUUAUCUCCCCCAAGAGUUCACAUCGACGGGGAGGUUUGGCACCUCGAUGUCGGCUCAUCGCAUCCUGGGGCUGAAGCAGGUCCCAAGGGUUGGGCUGUUCGCCCAUUAAAGCGGUACGUGAGCUGGGUUUAAAACGUCGUGAGACAGUUUGGUCCCUAUCUGCCGUGGGCGCAGGAUAUUUGAGGGGAGCUGUCCCUAGUACGAGAGGACCGGGAUGGACGAACCUCUGGUGUACCAGUUGUCACGCCAGUGGCACCGCUGGGUAGCUAUGUUCGGAAGGGAUAACCGCUGAAAGCAUCUAAGCGGGAAGCCCACCCCAAGAUGAGAUAUCCCCUCUCUCUCGCUUCGGCGGGAGAGGCUGAAGGCCCCUCGUAGACUACGAGGUUGAUAGGUCGGGUGUGUAAGCGCAGCAAUGUGUUUAGCUAACCGAUACUAAUUGGCCGUGCGGCUUGACCAU
rnacentral:rRNA from 1 species